UACGUAGGGCGCAAGCGUGUCCGGAAUUAUUGGGCGUAAAGAGCUCGUAGGCGGCUUGUCACGUCUGCUGUGAAAUCCCGGGGCUCAACCCCGGGCGUGCAGUGGAUACGGGCAGGCUAGAGUUCGGUAGGGGAGACUGGAAUUCCGUGGUGUAGGCGGUGAAAUGCGCAGAUAUCGGGAGGAACACCAGUGGCGAAGGCGGCGAUCUGGGUCGAUACUGACGCUGAGGUGCGAAAGCGUGGGGAGCAAACAGG
rnacentral:rRNA from 1 species